GUCAACUUAGUGACUAAAAAUGUCAUUUUCUGUUCCUAAUAAUAUUACAUAUCAUGUUCUUUUUUAAUUUAGGCAAAGUGUGGCGAAAGACUGAAAAGAGGUCUGUCCACUACAGUAUCUCCAGGCGUCUGUUUUUGCUACGGUCGCUCCAAGCAAAGAUAAAAAGGAAUGGGAAAUGGGUAACAAUUACACUUAAUACGUGUAAAAGGCUGCCAGAUUAUUUCCCCGAACUAGUGAAAGGUGGAUGUGCCAGAAAUCCUGACGCCUAUGAAUAUCAUUGUCGCUCUAAAACUGCGACUUGCAUGUACAGUGUUUCAUGCAAAUUUGACAAAAAUGUUCACGAAUAUCGCUGUAGAGAGACGCAUUUUUUCACUGGUUGGACUUGCUGCGAUGUCAAGUGUGCCUGAACCUACCGCAAUUUGAUGGUUUACUAUCAAUAUCCAUUCCUGUGAUUUACAUUUUGAUUUUACAUUUGUUAGUAAUGCACAUAAAUUUUAAAUUAAAUUAAUUAAAUGAUUACUAUAUAUAGCCGAAAUAAUUUACAAUGGAAGUUUUGUUACAGUCCGUAAAUAAAAAUAAAUCGUGC